UACGUAGGGUGCAAGCGUUGUCCGGAAUUAUUGGGCGUAAAGAGCUCGUAGGCGGUUCGUCACGUCGGCUGUGAAAACCUGAGGCUCAACCUCAGGCCUGCAGUCGAUACGGGCGGACUUGAGUACUGCAGGGGAGACUGGAAUUCCUGGUGUAGCGGUGAAAUGCGCAGAUAUCAGGAGGAACACCGGUGGCGAAGGCGGGUCUCUGGGCAGUAACUGACGCUGGAGAGACGGAAAAGCUAGGGGAGCAAACGGG
rnacentral:rRNA from 1 species